rnacentral:rRNA from 1 species
UACGGAGGGUGCAAGCGUUAUCCGGAUUUACUGGGUUUAAAGGGUGUGUAGGCGGACUUUUAAGUCAGCGGUGAAAUCUCCGGGCUCAACCCGGAAACUGCCAUUGAUACUAUUAGUUCUUGAAUGUUGUUGAAGGUGGGCGGAACGGGUCAUGUAGCGGGUGAAAUGCAUAGAUAUGACCCGGAACACCGAUUGCGAAGGCAGCCCACUAAGCAACUAUUGACGCUGAGGCACGAAAGCGUGGGGAUCAAACAGGA